rnacentral:tRNA from 1 species
AGCGGGAUAGAGCAGUGGAAGCUCGCGUGGUUCAUUUGCCACGAGGCCGCCGGUUCGAUUCCGGCUCCCGCACCCA